GACGUAGGGCGCGAGCGUUGUCCGGAUUUAUUGGGCGUAAAGAGCUCGUAGGCGGCUUGUCGCGUCGUUCGUGAAAACCCGCAGCUCAACUGUGGGCUUGCAGCCGAUACGGGCGGGCUGGGAUUCGGUAGGGGAGACUGGAAUUCCUGGUGUAGCGGUGAAAUGCGCAGAUAUCGGGAAGAACACCCGUGGCGAAGGCGGCUCUCUGGGACGGUACUGACGCUGAGACGCGAAAGCGUGGGGAGCGAACAGG
rnacentral:rRNA from 1 species